rnacentral:lncRNA from 1 species
AGAAGGCAUCAUGGUAACAACCGGAUCUUACCAAGUGUGUCCAAACAGGCCCAUGUGGGAGCUGCUGAGGUCAUUUGCUGACAGAUGAUUGUGUUGUCAGCGCUGCAUGGUGGAGGGUAAUUGUGUGAUUAUGAUUCUCUGGUAAACCUUGCAUCUGAAGGCAAAAUUCUGGGAGUCAUUUGAGCAGUGGGGAGGAGUAAAAUUAGACUGUAAGGGAGAGCAGCUGAAUGCCUGUGGCCCAUCAACUUUGGGGUUGGGAAGUGUGAGGCACAGAUGGGAGAACUAGUUUAGAGCCACUUGGGAGAGGCAGUUAUGGUAAUGAAACAACACAAGGCAAACUGCCCUUCCUCUGGGCUUUGGAUGGCCUCAAGUUACAGCAAUACAGUGUCGGGCUCCAAAUAUUCCUCUGUUGCUUGGCUGCUGUCUGCCCUCCCUUCAGGUUAGAUAUUCUCGUUCUGGGCAUGUGCCAUACUCAUCACAGAAAGCAGG